rnacentral:rRNA from 1 species
UACGUAGGGUGCGAGCGUUGUCCGGAAUUAUUGGGCGUAAAGAGCUCGUAGGCGGUUUGUUGCGUCUAUCGUGAGAACCUGCGGCUUAACUGUGGGCUUGCGGUGGAUACGGGCAGACUUGAGUUCGGUAGGGGAGACUGGAAUUCCUGGUGUAGCGGUGAAAUGCGCAGAUAUCAGGAGGAACACCGGUGGCGAAGGCGGGUCUCUGGGCCGAUACUGACGCUGAGGAGCGAAAGCGUGGGGAGCGAACAGG